rnacentral:rRNA from 1 species
GUGGAUUCCUGGAGACAGGGUCCUUCAGUUCGGCUGGCGGGAACACAGGUGCUGCAUGGCUGUCGUCAGCUCGUGUCGUGAGAUGUUGGGUUAAGUCCCGCAACGAGCGCAACCCUCGCCCCUAGUUGCCAUCAUUCAGUUGGGCACUCUAGGGGGACUGCCGGUGAUAAGCCGCGAGGAAGGUGGGGAUGACGUCAAGUCCUCAUGGCCCUUACGGGCUGGGCUACACACGUGCUACAAUGGCGGUGACAAUGGGCAGCGAACCCGCGAGGGGGAGCUAAUCCCAAAAAGCCGUCUCAGUUCAGAUUGCACUCUGCAACUCGAGUGCAUGAAGGCGGAAUCGCUAGUAAUCGUGGAUCAGAACGCCACGGUGAAUACGUUCCCGGGCCUUGUACACACCGCCCGUCACACCAUGGGAGUUGGUCUUACCCGACGGCGCUGCGCCAACCGCAAGGAGGCAGGCGACCACGGUAGGGUCAGCGACUGGGGUGAAGUCGUAACAAGGUAGCCGUAGGGGAACCUGCGGCUGGAUCACCUCCU